rnacentral:lncRNA from 1 species
UUCCAACAACGAGGUGUCACCUCUACCAGGUAUCCUGAUUGAACUUGUUUACAAGAAUUAGGAUUACUUCAAGGUAUAGAAUGGAUGCUCCGUCUUGCUGAUUUAACCUUUCUAUGCACGCAUAAUCAACCUACCUACCCGUCCCUAACCUUAGAAUUUUUAAGUUCAUAUGCAUACAACACUCCCACCGGUGAAGACGAAUACUUAACCGGUACCGCAACCUUC